rnacentral:lncRNA from 1 species
AUGCUGGUCUAAGUAUGUCUCUGUAAGAAUGAAGACGGGACUGGGGAGACAUCUCAGAUAGUGAACGGCUUUUCAUACAAGCAGAAGACCUGAGUUUAAUUCUCUGAACUCCUGUAAACAGUGGCAUCAUUGCUGUACUUGUAAUCCCAGUGCUGGAAAGGCUGAGACUUGUGGACCAAUGGGACUCCCUGGACAGUCACCCUGCUCUUCUCAGACCAGGAGUAUGAAUCGGGAUUA